GGGCGUAGCAAUACGUCAGCGGCAGACGGGUGAGUAACGCGUGGGAACGUACCUUUUGGUUCGGAACAACACAGGGAAACUUGUGCUAAUACCGGAUAAGCCCUUACGGGGAAAGAUUUAUCGCCGAAAGAUCGGCCCGCGUCUGAUUAGCUAGUUGGUGAGGUAACGGCUCACCAAGGCGACGAUCAGUAGCUGGUCUGAGAGGAUGAUCAGCCACAUUGGGACUGAGACACGGCCCAAACUCCUACGGGAGGCAGCAGUGGGGAAUAUUGGACAAUGGGCGCAAGCCUGAUCCAGCCAUGCCGCGUGAGUGAUGAAGGCCCUAGGGUUGUAAAGCUCUUUUGUGCGGGAAGAUAAUGACGGUACCGCAAGAAUAAGCCCCGGCUAACUUCGUGCCAGC
rnacentral:rRNA from 1 species